AGAGAAAUUGAAGAACUGAUGUGGAAAAGAUGAGUCAUGAAGCUACAAGGAUAGACUUUUUGUUCUUAUGGUGUCCUAACUUUGUUGAUAAUUUGGAAAACACUGUUCACAUAAACAUAUUGUCACCACAAUAAAAUCUGAGAUUUGUGGGAAGGAUCAUUUCCUGGGAAGUGGAAUCACUGAGAGAGAAAUUGAAGAACUGAUGUGGAAAAGAUGAGUCAUGAAGCUACAAGGAUAGACUUUUUGUUCUUAUGGUGUCCUAACUUUGUUGAUAAUUUGGAAAACACUGUUCACAUAAACAUAUUGUCACCACUGACUCACUGAGUUUUUUGGCAAGCCUUUUAGACCU
rnacentral:lncRNA from 1 species